UAAAAACCCCGACUUCGGAAGGGGUGUAUUUAUUAGAUACAAAACCAAUGCCCUUCGGGGCUCUUUGGUGAUUCAUGAUAACUAUACGAAUCGCACGGCCUUGCGCCGGCGAUGGUUCAUUCAAAUUUCUUCCCUAUCAACUUUCGAUGUUUGGGUAUUGGCCAAACAUGGUUGCAACGGGUAACGGAGGGUUAGGGCUCGACCCCGGAGAAGGAGCCUGAGAAACGGCUACUACAUCCAAGGAAGGCAGCAGGCGCGUAAAUUACCCAAUCUUGACACAAGGAGGUAGUGACAAUGUAAGUUACUGAGUGAUCAGUUUCAAACUAAAAAAUAAAUCGAAAUAGUGGCCUAACUCUUGCAUUUCUGUUUGGUAUUAACAGAAAUAACAAUGCCGGGCCUCUGUAGGUCUGGCAAUUGGAAUGAGAACAAUUUAAACCCCUUAACGAGGAACAAUUGGAGGGCAAGUCUGGUGCCAGCAGCCGCGGUAAUUCCAGCUCCAAUAGCGUAUAUUAAAGUUGUUGUGGUUAAAAAGCUCGUAGUUGAACCUUGGGCCUGGCUGGCCGGUCCGCCUCACCG
rnacentral:rRNA from 1 species